rnacentral:rRNA from 1 species
GACACGACUCUCGGCAACGGAUAUCUCGGCUCUCGCAUCGAUGAAGAACGUAGCGAAAUGCGAUACCUGGUGUGAAUUGCAGAAUCCCGCGAACCAUCGAGUCUUUGAACGCAAGUUGCGCCCGAGGCCACUUGGCCGAGGGCACGCCUGCCUGGGCGUCACGC